rnacentral:rRNA from 1 species
AGGGAAUCUUCGGCAAUGGACGAAAGUCUGACCGAGCAACGCCGCGUGAGUGAAGAAGGUUUUCGGAUCGUAAAACUCUGUUGUUAGAGAAGAACGUUGCAUAGAGUGGAAAAUUAUGCGAGUGACGGUAUCUAACCAGAAAGGGACGGCUAACUACGUGCCAGCAGCCGCGGUAAUACGUAGGUCCCGAGCGUUGUCCGGAUUUAUUGGGCGUAAAGCGAGCGCAGGUGGUUUAAUAAGUCUGAUGUAAAAAGGCAGUGGCUCAACCAUUGUGUGCAUUGGAAACUGUUAGACCUGAGUGCAGUAGAGGAGAGUGGAAUUCCAUGUGUAGCGGUGAAAUGCGUAGAUAUAUGGAGGAACACCGGUGGCGAAAAGCGGCUCUCUGGACUGUCACUGACACUGAGGCUCGAAAGCGUGGGUAGCAAACAGGAUUAGAUACCCUGGUAGUCCACGCCGUAAACGAUGAGUGCUAGUUGUUUG